AAGUACAAACCAGCCAAAGGCCCAAAAAGUAGCUCAAAUCCGUUCCUUGGCUAGUUUGUACUUUCAAAACCCGUCUGGCAACCCUGAUAUUCAUGUACGUAACACGCAUGUGGCCCUGCAGACUCUUCUAAUGCUUCCCAUACUGUAGGGGUUGGAGUCAUGGGCAUUUUUAAGAUGGGGGGUGUGAGAGCCUUUUAAGAGGGAAAAAAAAGUUUGGCAAAAAUCUUUUGGCCAAGCCCAUAUUAUAGCCACACAUUCUAAUUACCAUGUCAAUUUGGCAGUUUAUCAAUGUUUGAACACAUUUCUGGGAAUUUUAGUGCAAUGAUUUAUGUGUUAUAAACAGUUUUGCUAAUGAAAGUGAAUGUCCCUUUAAAAGGGUACAAGGGCCAAUUCUACUUUUUUUUUUUUUUUUUAAACUUGUUUUUAUUAAAGAUCAGCACAUAGUAGUUACAAAGUCAUAACCGAGAAAGAAAAUGCCCAGAAUAUUUUUGUAACAAUAUGUGAAUGCAGUGAGCACAAAUUAUCAAGAACAGUAAUCAUAAAAUAAAAUAAACAAAUAGCUCAAACUAAGGAUUGAAAAGGCAAAAAGAGAAAGGUCGAGAGAAAAGAAGGAAAGGAAAAUUCCCUAUAUAGGGUUCGAUAAGAACGUAAUAACCUGUUGGUGAGAUGGAUCCCGGGGGACGUCGGACUCAAACGUGGUUGGUUUAGACGUUGGUCUCUGAGAUACUGGGACGACUCCAUAACCAGCGGAUGUUCCGUUACUAAUAUAGAUUGCCGUUAAAACUUGUCGUAAGGCACGGACCGGAUACCUACGUUUAAGAAAGCCUACCUGGUUUUCGGAAUAGUGCCGCCUCCUUCUGAAGUCCCAAACAGCUGAAAUGCAGAAGUGCCGAAAAAGCCAAACAGCCAAAGUCCCGAAGCGGAGAAAAGACCCGAAGCCACGAAAAUAGCCGAAGCAGUGAAAAGACCAGGAGUCUGAUGACAGCCGAAAUUGAAAUCCUGAAGCGCCAAAAAGACCCGAAGUCACAGAAACAGCGACAUUGAAGUCCUGCAGCGCUGAAAAGACCCGAAGUCGUGAAAAAUCAGAAAUUGAAGUCCUGAAGCCACAAGUU